UACACACCGCCCGUCACACCAUGGGAAUCAGUUGUACCGGAAGUCGGUGAUUCAACCCGAAAGGGGAUAGCCGCCUAUGGUAUGGCUGGUGACUGGGGUG
rnacentral:rRNA from 1 species